rnacentral:rRNA from 1 species
AGAGCUCGUAGGCGGUUUGUCGCGUCUGCCGUGAAAGUCCGAGGCUCAACCUCGGAUCUGCGGUGGGUACGGGCAGACUAGAGUGAUGUAGGGGAGACUGGAAUUCCUGGUGUAGCGGUGAAAUGCGCAGAUAUCAGGAGGAACACCGAUGGCGAAGGCAGGUCUCUGGGCAUUUACUGACGCUGAGGAGCGAAAGCAUGGGGAGCGAACAGGAUUAGAUACCCUGGUAGUCCAUGCCGUAAACGUUGGGCACUAGGUGUGGGGGACAUUCCACGUUUUCCGCGCCGUAGCUAACGCAUUAAGUGCCCCGCCUGGGGAGUACGGCCGCAAGGCUAAAACUCAAAGGAAUUGACGGGGGCCCGCACAAGCGGCGGAGCAUGCGGAUUAAUUCGAUGCAACGCGAAGAACCUUACCAAGGCUUGACAUGUUCCAGACCGGGCCAGAGAUGGUCUUUCCCCUUUUGGGGCUGGUUCACAGGUGGUGCAUGGUUGUCGUCAGCUCGUGUCGUGAGAUGUUGGGUUAAGUCCCGCAACGAGCGCAACCCUCGUUCCAUGUUGCCAGCGGGUUAUGCCGGGGACUCAUGGGAGACUGCCGGGGUCAACUCGGAGGAAGGUGGGGAUGACGUCAAAUCAUCAUGCCCCUUAUGUCUUGGGCUUCACGCAUGCUACAAUGGCCGGUACAAUGGGUUGCGAUACUGUGAGGUGGAGCUAAUCCC